UGCUUUUGAUGGGCGUCGACCGGCGCACGGGUGAGUAACGCGUAUCCAACCUGCCCAUCACUUGGGGAUAACCUUGCGAAAGUAAGACUAAUACCCAAUGAUAUCUCUAGAAGACAUCUGAAAGAGAUUAAAGAUUUAUCGGUGAUGGAUGGGGAUGCGUCUGAUUAGCUUGUUGGCGGGGUAACGGCCCACCAAGGCUACGAUCAGUAGGGGUUCUGAGAGGAAGGUCCCCCACAUUGGAACUGAGACACGGUCCAAACUCCUACGGGAGGCAGCAGUGAGGAAUAUUGGUCAAUGGACGAGAGUCUGAACCAGCCAAGUAGCGUGCAGGAUGACGGCCCUAUGGGUUGUAAACUGCUUUUAUAAGGGAAUAAAGUGAGAGUCGUGACUCUUUUUGCAUGUACCUUAUGAAUAAGGACCGGCUAAUUCCGUGCCAGCAGCCGCGGUAAUACGGAAGGUCCGGGCGUUAUCCGGAUUUAUUGGGUUUAAAGGGAGCGUAGGCCGGAGAUUAAGCGUGUUGUGAAAUGUAGAUGCUCAACAUCUGAACUGCAGCGCGAACUGGUUUCCUUGAGUACGCACAAAGUGGGCGGAAUUCGUGGUGUAGCGGUGAAAUGCUUAGAUAUCACGAAGAACUCCGAUUGCGAAGGCAGCUCACUGGAGCGCAACUGACGCUGAAGCUCGAAAGUGCGGGUAUCGAACAGGAUUAGAUACCCUGGUAGUCCGCACGGUAAACGAUGGAUGCCCGCUGUUGGUCUGAAUAGGUCAGCGGCCAA
rnacentral:rRNA from 1 species